CACGCCCUAAACGAUGUGUGCUAGUUGUCGGGCCCUUUAGGGUUCGGUGACGCAGCUAACGCUUUAAGCACACCGCCUGGGGAGUACGGUCGCAAGAUUAAAACUCAAAGGAAUUGACGGGGACCCGCACAAGCGGUGGAGCAUGUUGUUUAAUUCGAAGCAACGCGAAGAACCUUACCUACACUUGACAUACCUCUUAGGACUUUCAGAGAUGAUUGUUUUCAGUUCGGCUGGGGAGAGUACAGGUGC
rnacentral:rRNA from 1 species